rnacentral:rRNA from 1 species
GAUGAACGCUGGCGGCAUGCCUAAUACAUGCAAGUCGUACGAACAGACCCUCUGAUUAUGAAGUGCUUGCACCGAUUAUGAUUAGGAUUUUCUGUUAGUGGCGAACGGGUGAGUAACACGUGGGUAACCUGCCCCUUAGUUGAGGAUAACUAUUGGAAACGAUAGCUAAUACUGAAUACGAUGUGAGUUUGCAUGAACAUACAUUGAAAGAAGCGUUUGCUUCGCUAAGGGAUGGACCUGCGGUGCAUUAGCUAGUUGGUGUGGUAACAGCGCACCAAGGCGACGAUGCAUAGCCGGGCUGAGAGGCUGAACGGCCACAUUGGGACUGAGACACGGCCCAAACUUCUACGGAAGGCUGCAGUAGGGAAUUUUUCGCAAUGGACGCAAGUCUGACGAAGCAAUGCCGCGUGAGGGAUGAAGGUUUUCGGAUUGUAAACCUCUGUUAUAAGGGAAGAAAACCUGAUAUAGGAAAUGAUAUCAGCUUGACGGUACCUUAUCAGAAAGGGACGGCUAACUACGUGCCAGCAGCCGCCGUAAUAC